rnacentral:rRNA from 1 species
AUUGAACGCUGGCGGUAUGCUUAACACAUGCAAGUCGAACGGUAGCAGGCCGCAAGGUGCUGACGAGUGGCGAACGGGUGAGUAAUGCAUCGGAACGUGCCCAGUCGUGGGGGAUAACGCAGCGAAAGCCGUGCUAAUACCGCAUACGAUCUAUGGAUGAAAGCGGGGGACCGUAAGGCCUCGCGCGAUUGGAGCGGCCGAUGUCAGAUUAGGUAGUUGGUGGGGUAAAGGCCCACCAAGCCAACGAUCUGUAGCUGGUCUGAGAGGACGACCAGCCACACUGGGACUGAGACACGGCCCAGACUCCUACGGGAGGCAGCAGUGGGGAAUUGUUCGCAAUGGGCGCAAGCCUGACGACGCAACGCCGCGUGGGGGAUGAAGGUCUGCGGAUUGUAAACCCCUGUCGAGCGGGACGAACGGCUCGCGGUUCAAUACACCGCGGGAAUGACGGUACCGCUAAAGGAAGCCACGGCUAACUCUGUGCCAGCAGCCGCAGUAACAC